rnacentral:sRNA from 1 species
UUUUUUUUACUUGCUCUGCACUGCCAGAUAGGGAUUAGAUUAUAGGAUUAAUCAAGAUUGCUGCUAUGUUGACUAACAAAAAUUAUUUGACAGUUUUCAUCUAUUCUAGUCUGAAACAUUUAUUUGCAAAGAGUUAAUUUAUUGGAGGUAACAUCUGAACUGCAUUUAUGUCAGUAACAUGAAGAUCUUUGUUCACUAAAGAAUAUAUCUUCAGGAAAUUGAGCAUGAAGACUUUUCUCAGGUAUCUUUGCCUAAUCUGAAAUGUGGGCAACGCUAUAUGUCUUUCAGAGAGAUCUUAAGCCUUGUUAGUGCAUGUUACAUGUUGGCCUCAUUUUUUUUUUAUAAUCUAAAACGUUAUUUCAAUUACUACUAUAUAACUGGCAGUUUUCAUAAGAGCUGAAAAUUUUUUUUAUUUACUAUUGAACAUGUUUGUCUAGACUAGUGAGGUUUACUUUCUCUUUCUCAAAGAAAGGGCUCUACAUGACAUGAAUCUAUCUACAAAUGAUUUUUUCUUAAUACCAUACUAGUCUAUAAUAUUUCUUGAGUUGGCAGUCAGGUCUGAAUUAAAAUUUAAAAUAUAUCUGAAUGUUCACUUUUGAAAAUCUUUUUUCAAGCACUUGAUAGGUUGCAAUCAAUGC